rnacentral:rRNA from 1 species
GCAUUGGCGCGUGCUAUACAUGCAAGUCGAGCGGACAGAUGGGAGCUUGCUCCCUGAUGUUAGCGGCGGACGGGUGAGUAACACGUGGGUAACCUGCCUGUAAGACUGGGAUAACUCCGGGAAACCGGGGCUAAUACCGGAUGGUUGUUUGAACCGCAUGGUUCAAACAUAAAAGGUGGCUUCGGCUACCACUUACAGAUGGACCCGCGGCGCAUUAGCUAGUUGGUGAGGUAACGGCUCACCAAGGCAACGAUGCGUAGCCGACCUGAGAGGGUGAUCGGCCACACUGGGACUGAGACACGGCCCAGACUCCUACGGGAGGCAGCAGUAGGGAAUCUUCCGCAAUGGACGAAAGUCUGACGGAGCAACGCCGCGUGAGUGAUGAAGGUUUUCGGAUCGUAAAGCUCUGUUGUUAGGGAAGAACAAGUACCGUUCGAAUAGGGCGGUACCUUGACGGUACCUAACCAGAAAGCCACGGCUAACUACGUGCCAGCAGCCGCGGUAAUACGUAGGUGGCAAGCGUUGUCCGGAAUUAUUGGGCGUAAAGGGCUCGCAGGCGGUUUCUUAAGUCUGAUGUGAAAGCCCCCGGCUCAACCGGGGAGGGUCAUUGGAAACUGGGGAACUUGAGUGCAGAAGAGGAGAGUGGAAUUCCACGUGUAGCGGUGAAAUGCGUAGAGAUGUGGAGGAACACCAGUGGCGAAGGCGACUCUCUGGUCUGUAACUGACGCUGAGGAGCGAAAGCGUGGGGAGCGAACAGGAUUAGAUACCCUGGUAGUCCACGCCGUAAACGAUGAGUGCUAAGUGGUUAGGGGGUUUCCGCCCCUUAGUGCUGCAGCUAACGCAUUAAGCACUCCGCCUGGGGAGUACGGUCGCAAGACUGAAACUCAAAGGAAUUGACGGGGGCCCGCACAAGCGGUGGAGCAUGUGUUUUAAUUCGAAGCAACGCGAAGAACCUUACCAGGUCUUGACAUCCUCUGACAUCCUAGAAGAUAGGACGUCCCCUUCGGGGGCAGAGUGACAGGUGGUGGCAUGGUUGUCGUCAGCUCGUGUCGUGAGAUUGUUGGGUUAAGUCCCGCAACGAGCGCAACCCUUUGAUCUUAGUUGCCAGCAUUCAGUUGGGCCACUUCUAAGGGUG